rnacentral:rRNA from 1 species
AUUGAACGCUGGCGGCAGGCCUAACACAUGCAAGUCGAGCGAGUGGCGGACGGGUGAGUAAUGCUUGGGAAUCUGGCUGAUGGAGGGGGAUAACUACGGGACACUGUAGCUAAUACCGCAUACCAUAGGAUGAGCCCAAGUGGGCUUAGGUAGUUGGUGAGGUAAAGGCUCACCAAGCCGACGAUCCCUAGCUGGUCUGAGAGGAUGACCAGCCACACUGGGACUGAGACACGGCCCAGACUCCUACGGGAGGCAGCAGGGGGGAAUAUUGCGCAAUGGGGGCAACCUGACGCAGCCAUGCCGCGUGAAUGAAGAAGGCCUUCGGGUUGUAAAGUUCUUUCGGUGGCGAGGCGUUACCCACAGAAGAAGCACCGGCUAACUCCGUGCCAGCAGCCGCGGUAAUUC